AUACGGAGGAUGCGAGCGUUAUCCGGAUUUAUUGGGUUUAAAGGGUGCGUAGGCGGACGAUUAAGUCAGCUGUGAAAUGCCCGCGCUUAACGCGGGAAGUGCAGUUGAUACUGGUUGUCUGGAGUGCCGUUGCCGUGGGGGGAAUGUGUAGUGUAGCGGUGAAAUGCAUAGAUAUUACACAGAACGCCGAUUGUGAAGACACCUCACGAAGCGGUAACUGACGCUGAGGCACGAAAGCGUGGGGAUCGAACAGGAUUAGAUACCCUGGUAGUCCACGCAGUAAACGAUGAAUACUCGCUGUUUGCGAUAUACAGUAAGCGGCCAAGCGAAAGCGUUAAGUAUUCCACCUGGGGAGUACGCCGGCAACGGU
rnacentral:rRNA from 1 species